UUUUUGUUUCAAUUAAUUAUACAUACUUACUCUUUAAGUACUAAAAUAUAUUUAAUUUGUCUUGAUAGGUGUAUUAAAGGCUGACGGAUUCAUUCAAAAAAAUGCCGAAGAAAGUUAUGCUUUUAUCGAAAUUGAAACACAUUUUUUAACACCAUAUAAUGAAUAUCUUGAAACAGAAGCUAGAAAAUUGACCGAUCAUUUUAAAGGAUCAAAAAAUUGGUGCAAAAAUGAAAAAAAAUUUUCAGAACUUGAGGAUUUAGUUGUGGAAUACUUUGCAAAAUAUUAUAAAAAAAAUAAUAAUAGUACAGGAUGAACUUUAAAACAAUAAAGAUUAUUUAUAAAUCAAUUAAAUUAAAGUAACUAUACCAUCUUAAAAUCCUUUAGAAAUAAAAUAUUUUUUUUAAAACAUAUGUUAUUAUAAUUGUCAAUGAAUUUAUUAUUAAUACUUUUCACGGAAAACGCUGAAUAAUUUUUCUUUCGUAGUCAAUCUUAAUACAUAAUUAUUAUGUAAUUAUAAAUAAUUAAAAUAAAUAUUCUAUAUAUUACUAAUAUACUCAUUACUCGUAUAAUUAUUAAUCUAAUAAUAGUUAUAAU